rnacentral:lncRNA from 1 species
AUUACAGUAACUGGGUCUGCUAAGUCACUUAGAAUCAGAGUACCUUCUUACCUAACAAAGAUGAAGAAAAGCUGAUACAUAUUUAAUUUUUAAUCUUUCAACUAUUAGAUGCUUGGAUUAUAAUUAUUCACUUGGCUACAGUAGCGAUCUUUUUAAUAUAUUUCAACAUUCAAUCUUCUUGGAUAUAAAGUUCCUGUCUUCUUGGAACUUACUUUCUAGAGGUGGGGAGGGCAAAAUAAACAAGGCAACAAAUAAAUCUUAUGAUUUUAGAAACUGGUAAGUGCUAUGGAGAAAAUAAAACAGACUAAUGAGAUAGAAGUUUAGGUGAAAGAAGUGGUAAAUACAAUCAUCAGUUUAUCAACACAUCAUAAAUCAUGAGAUGUGUAAAUGCUUUACGAUUAUGACAGACCUGAGAAAAUUGAGUUAUACAUGUGGCUAAUGUUUGGAUGAAAAUAAUAACAUUAUAUAACUCUUUGGGAGAUACGUUUUAUGUCUCAGGUACUUAUGCACAUUAUCUGUUAUUUAAACUAGUUCAGGGGCUGGCCCAGUGGCGCAGUGGUUAAGUUCACAUGUUCCACUUCUCGGUGGCCCGGGGUUCUCUGGUUUGGAUCCUGGGUGCGGACAUGGCACCACUUGGCAAAAGCCAUGCUGUGGUAGGCGUCCCACAUAUAAAGUACAGGAAGAUGAGCAUGGAUGUUAGCUCAGGGCCAGGCUUCCUCAGCAAAAAGAGGAGGACUGGCAGUAGUUAGCUCAGGGCUAAGCUUCCUCAAAAAAACAAAACAAAAACAACUAGUUCAGUUAUUUAUUCAUUCUGCAAAUACAGAUGUAUCAUCUAGUAGGUGCCAGGGACAUUGCAUAUGCUGGACAGCAAUGUUGGAGUAGAUGACACAACCCAACUUUCAUGGAACUUAAACCUUAGUGAUGAGAGCCAGAAAGUGUAACAGAUAAAGUUCAGAGUUUUCAUACAUUGAUAGGUGCUAUGAAUAACAUAAAAUAAGGAAAUAACUCAGAGAAAGACUAAGGAAGAAAUUACUUGGCUAGAAUGGUCCAAAAGGUUUCUCUGAAAAAGAGACAUUUGAGAUGAGACCUGAAUGACAUGAAGGAGUCAGUCUUGCAAGGAACAUUCCAGGCAGGGGAAAUAACAGAUCAAAUGUCCUGAAGCAGGAAUGAAUUUGGUGCAUUGGCUGCACAGAGCAAAGGCCAGUUUGGGUGGGUUGAAUACAGGGAUGAGAUGAAAAUGAUAGGACAUGAAGUUGGAAAUUUAGGUGGGACCAUAUUAAGUAGGGCUUUCUACAUCGUGCUAAAGAUGUAGAAAGAGUAUGGAUCUUCUUGUUCUUGUACUAGCCAACUAGAAGAGGGCUUAAAAUGGGGACCAAUAUAUGUUUUUAAAAAGCUGCUCUGUGGACAAUGGACUUAGUGGGCAGGAUAAAUAGAAGCAAAGAGACCUGUUAGGAAGCAGCUCAGUGGGUCCUGUGAAAGAUGGUGAUGAUUGUUACUCUUGUUUUAUUGAUGAGGAAAUGUAGGCACAUAUGUUGUUGAAGGCUACGCAGGAAGUAAGUUUAUUUAUUAUGUGUCUGGGCCUGCUUUUCUUUGAGCUUAUCCUAUUUGCAGUUUCCUUAGCUUCUUGAAUCUGUAACUCUUUAAAUUUAUAUCUUUCACCAAAUUUGGGAAGUUUAUUGCAGUUAUUUCUUCAAAUUUUUUUUUCUGCAGCAAUCUCUUCUUCUGGGACUCAUGUGACAUAAAUUUUCAAUCUUUUGGUAUUGUCCCACAUUUGCAUGAUGCUCUGUUCAGUUAUUUUUCAAUACUUUCUCUCUGUUCUUCAGACUGGGUAAUUUCUGUUUAUCUAACUUCAAGUUCACUGACUCAUUUUUGAGUCGUCUUCAUUCUGCUAUCAAGUCCAUCCGGUUGAUUUUUUAAAUUUCAGAUAUUAUUUUUUUUUAGUUUUAAAAUUUCCAUUUGGUUCCUUUUUUACAGUUUUUAUUUCUCUUCUGAGAAAUUCUAUCUUUCCACUCAUUUUACCUUUACUUCAUGGAGUCCUGCAGUCUGUCACACUCUUCCGCAUGACCGGGAACUACCCUUGGGGUGAAGCAGCAAAGGAAAAAGAUAUAAAACAUUAGCAAGGAUUCUCCUACAUUCCUUGGACUAGAGGGGCCCUUCUUCCUCGUUUCUCUGGCUAGAGGGAGGGUUUCCUUUCAGGGUUUUAGGUGGCUUCACUACCACCACACUUCUGUGGCAGUGCAGCGCCUCAAAUAAAUGGGGCCCUUCAGGCAGGGCCUAGGGGGGAAAAAGGGGAGAAAAACAAUGGAGAUUCUCCUCACCUCCCCCACCCCCAACACACUCUCUGACUCAAAAUGGCUCUUUGUCCUGCUCCUAUGGCCAGGAAAAUGUCGUUUCUCUUAGAGUUUCUACUGUUUGCUUUCACUGUG